CAAGAUAUGAAUGUGUCGUAUGGAGUAUAACAAUUAGUUAGAAAAAAGAGUACCUAAACAAAUUUAAUUUGAGCUCUAAAUGACCACCUGUUUGUUUUUCUUAUACCAAAAGUUCAAUCUGUAACCUCAUCAAUCUAAUCACAACUUUGAGAUUAAUAAUAUAGAGCAUACAUGUGUUGAUACAUCUAAUUUUUUGUUAUGAUCCAGCAAAUUCAGUUCCAAGGAAGCAUUUCAAUUCUCUUAGAUCUUUUAUCCUGAAAUUUUGGUGCAGCACCUCUUAGCUUCUUCAACCAUCUUGUCAUGUUCACGUUAUCGGUAAGUUAUUAACAUAUAUAAGGACGACAAGUUCACAACCAUGUUAUUGACAUGCCUUUUAGAGAACAAAGAACAGUGUAAAAAGUACAUUAUUUUUAUGACAGCAUUUCCAUAACUAAGAUGACAAUUUAAGUAAUUAACUCCUCCAUCCAUGAUCCAUGUAAGAAAAUAAUUCAAAGAGUAUAACAAUGUUUAUCCAUUAAAGUAACAGAGGAUUAAUUAAACUUUGGCACAUUUAAAUUGAAUAAAAGAUAAAUAUUUAUAUUAAAUUCACAUUCUUUUGUAAUCUGUUAAAAUUACCAGCCACAAUAUGCCACAAAACAGUAAAAUGAAAAAUUCCAAUCUCCGCUCGGAAAAAUUAAGAAGACAAGCUGCUCAUAGGUUUCAAUUAUACGUCCAAAUAGUUAAAUCGAAGCUUAUUCCAUCAUUAAGUGAUUUACACAGGUGGCUGUAGUUUGGUUUGUCACCAGAAAACAAUAGCAGCCAUGAAAAUUAAUUCAUAAAAAAUGAAAACCGUUAAGAGAUCUUAAAAAAAAUAAAGGAAAGAAACAAGAUAGGAAAAAAGAAGAAGAUUUGAGAAAAUUUAAGAGAACCAUACCUUGAAUCGUAACAGACAGAUGAGAAAAUACAGGAGCAUCGAGUAUUUCUUAAUGUCUGAAAAAGAAGAACCAAAAGGAUACGCCCAAGUUCGAUUGGAACGGAAGGAGUUCUGAAGACGCGCAUUGUUAAAAGCACUUUUAUGGCAAAGUAUAAUGACAAUUCUACCCUUGGUCUAGAAACAAACUCAGGUGAACUCUUUGAGUUCUCCUUCUUCAAAAUUUGAAGAAAACCAUUUCGGAUAUGAUUCUCUCACUGCUUUUGCUCCAAUCUUUUUCUUUUUUUCUCUGUCUUCUCUUCUUCUUUUUCUGUUUUGAGAUCUCUUAACAAUUUCCUAUUUUAUGAGUGAAUUUUCUUUACUGUAAUUAUUCUACUGCGACAUAAUAUUCUUUAUUUUUGCAACCAGAAAUUGGUACUUUC
rnacentral:lncRNA from 1 species